AAACAAAAACCCCAAAGCAAAAACAAACAAACAAACAAACAAGAGUCAAACCGAGCCACCCUUAAAUAACCCCAACCAAGGGCAGGAAAGGUGUUUUUACAAGAACUUCAAGACAUUGAAGAAAGAAAUUACAGUGAACAGUGGAUGGUGGAAAGAUUUCCUAUGCUUGUAGACUGGAAGAAUUAGUAUCAUAGCUUACCAAAAGCAAUCUUCAAAUUCCAUGUAGUGCCUAUCAAAAGUCCAGUGACAUUCUUCACAUUAUUGAAUAAAUAAUCUUUUUCGAGAAAGUCAUCUUAAAAAUGGUCCUACGUUAAUUUUAGGUAAACAUAAUACAAUAAGGCUCCUUGGGGCUUUAUUAACCUGGGUGUUCUUUGCCCUUCUUCUUUGGUGACCUCUGUCCCCAUUCCCUAGUUGAAAUUCCUCCCCCGCUUUUUUUUCUGUUUACCCUUCACAUCACCUGAACUCUGACAUUCGCACCCCACUGCUCGCUGCAAUCCCUUUAUACUUUCCUGGUUCCUGUGGUUCUCCAUAUUGUAGUCACAUCUGAGGACCUAGAGCUAGUGGCUGCCAGCAAGAAGUCAUGCUACUUGGGCUGGUAAUCCUUCCCACAAGAACCACAGACUAACAGAAAUCCCAGAACCAGGCAUGAGAAACCUCCCUCAAAUAGUUGGUCAGAGUAGCCCAAGUGACUCUCCAAACAGUGCAGACCAUUGCUAUUGCCCCUGCGGCCUCUCCAAAGUUGAAGGUAAAUGUAGCUACCACGUCUAUCAAAGAAGCUUCUCUUUACAGCGAAUGGAAAGCACAACUGGACAUAAGGCAGAGAUCAGUGGUUGGUGGGGGCCAAACGGCUACAUCCGCAGCACGGCACCUGCAUCUUUGACUCAGGGGACAUAGCAGAGGAGAUCUGAAAGAUUGAAAGAGCUGGAACAUCAGGGAGUCUGCUGAAAGACUAUCUUUUCAGAAUGCUGAAAAUAAAACUCCUAUGUGACUCAGCUGUUCUGCCCCCAUGAACAUACCCAAGGAACUCCACAUCCUACAGAGAUAUUUAUUUACGGUUACUACUGCACUAUUCACAAACCACAAGGAAAUGGAAGCAGCUUAGAUGCCCAUACACAGUGAAAACGUAGUCCAUAUCCACAAUGGGAUUUUAUUCAGCUAUAAAGCCAAUUCCUUCUCCAAGGGACCCUGUACUGCUGCUUCUACAGACUCUAGACACCUGGGUUGGUGACCUUAGCUGCUCGUUGUACCCCCUAACCAAGGAAGGGGAAGUGUUUGUGUGGACCCCAGAUCACCAAAAAGCCUUAAAAAAAAAGGCCCUACUAACGGCCAGCCUUUGCCUAACCUAACCAAGCCUUUCACUCUUUAUGUGGAAAAGAGAUCAAGAAAAGCCAGAGGAGUCCUUACUCAGACUUUGGGACUUUAAAAAAGGCCAGUGGCUUACCUAUCCAAGAAGUUACACCCUGUUGUCAGUGGGUGGUUUUCUUGCCUGAAAGCUAUUGCUGCCAUAACACUGCUUGUCAAGGAUGCUGAUAAGCUCACUCUGGGACAGCAAAGAACUGUAGUGGCACCUCACACUCUUAAAAGCAUUAUCUGAAAGCCCCCUGACUGAUGGAUGACGACCAACGCUCCUGUGACACAUCAGAACUUUUUGUUGACUGAACGAGUGACCUUCGCUUCAUUCCACCUGCUGUCCCACUGUGUGAGACCGCACCUACUCAUCACUGCGCUGACAUUCUGGCAGAAGAAAUGAUCUGAAGGAUCAGAUCAGCCUUAGCCUGAGGGCAGUAGCCUCACGGUUAAAGGUAAGCAGAAGGCAGGGACAGCAGUAUGGUGGUGAACAGAAAGCAAGUGAUCUAGGCCAGCAGCCUCCCUAAAGAGACGUUGGCCCAGAAAGCUGAACUUGUGACUUUAAGACAAGCUCUAUAAAUGGCAAAAGAAAAGUCUACACUGACAGCAGAUAUGCUUUUGCCACUGUAUAGAGCAAUAUACAGACAAAGAGGGCUGUUGACCUCUGCAGAGAAAGACCUAAGAUGCUGUGGCUAAAAAAAAAAAAAAAAAAA